CUUUUUAACAUUGAGCCCCAUCAGAGCCUUCUUGUUGCACACUGAACUCAAGUGCAGCCACAGUUCUAACUAAUGGCCAAUAGGUGUCACUAGGUCCCCUGGCUGUGCCAGGCUGGAACCAGAGUAGCCAGGAGAGCUGACUGCCCUGUCUCUUUGGGGCCCUGACAGGGAACGGGGCAAAAGGAGGCAGCAGCUGGAGGCCAGUGGCUUGCCAGCAGCAGAGCUGGCAUUCGGCACACAGCUGCAGUUCUCAGGGCAUGGGCAGCUCCAGAUGGCAUCACCACAGGGAAAAUGUCCCGAUGGAGGCGGUUCACAGAAGGCUGGGCCGGGCCAACCUGCAUUAGGAGGGCAGAGCUGCUUCCUGCUGACAUAGGAUGCUGUUUUGGGGAAACAACAGUCCGAGCUCCCUCAAAGGUCUAUUUAAGGUUUCCCAGCAGAAGGGGACAUUGUCAGAGGCUCCAGCUGCAUGACUAUUUGGAGUUUGAUGGCCCUUUUGCCAGCAUGUUGGGCUUCUGGGUUCUCUUCCCCUGAGCCCAAUCCUAUGGCAGCCAUUUUAAGGUUUGGGAAAUUAACUCUUUCCAGUUUGUAGGAUGCAUCUGAAGGGAGUGUCUUGUAGUACAGAGACACAAUUACCUUUAUCUCUUCUGCAAUUACUUAUCGACCAUGUGUGGUACUGUAAGGGCUGGGAGAGGAUGAAAGAGCUGAAUGGCCUUCUCUAGACUCGUGGGCUGUCUCCCCAGUAGUAACUUGCUGGCCCUGCCCUUGAAGUGGAAAGAGUGUGAAGGGCUCCAUGAUCAAGCUCGUCCUCUUUUCUUACGUCGUCCCCCUCUGCUGUUUCCACUGCAGCUGAACAGGCCAUCAAGCAGCCUGCCAUGGGGCCCUGCUCCAAGAACCGGUUCUUCUGCUGGGCGACUGUGCUCCUGCACUGUUCUAGGAAAAACCCUGGAAAGAAACAGGAGGGGCCCAUCAAUUCAGGAACAUGUGAACAAGCUGAGAAGUAUCUGUUCCAUGGCAUAUUAUAGAAGCUUACAAAAACAAAUGUUCCGGUUAUCUGGAAGGAAUGUUCAACUUCCAUGAAGUCAGAUGCCUAGAUUUCCAUCAGCAAGAUUCAGGAACCUGAAUACAAUACAGUCUUCAUUUUAUAAAAGGAAACGCAGCCACCAAACUUUAAGUGUUUAUACACCCAUAUGUUUCUAAGACUAUGUUAAAAAUGUGGAAGGAAUCAGUAGAUUGCUAACAUGGGCUACAGGAGGGCAUAAAAUUGGGAAGGAAAACAUGGAGAGGGAGAAAGUAGGGAACACAGAAUGUUAAGCAAAAAGUGAACUGAAAGAAAGACUGUCCAAAUCUAGGCUGUAUGUCACAUUUGCUAUUUUAUGAACAACUAUAUGUUUGCAUUUAUAAUAACAUUAAAUUUUAAAAUGAGAA
rnacentral:lncRNA from 1 species